rnacentral:tRNA from 3 species
CGGAUGUACCCAAGUGGAUCAAGGCAG